UACGUAGGGGGCAAGCGUUGUCCGGAAUCAUUGGGCGUAAAGCGCGUGUAGGCGGUCCGAUAAGUCCGCUGUGAAAGUCCAGGGCUCAACCCUGGGAUGCCGGUGGAUACUGUCGGGCUCGAGUCCGGAAGAGGCGAGUGGAAUUCCUGGUGUAGCGGUGAAAUGCGCAGAUAUCGGGAAGAACACCCGUGGCGAAGGCGGCUCUCUGGAACGGUACUGACGCUGAGACGCGAAAGCGUGGGGAGCGAACAGG
rnacentral:rRNA from 1 species